rnacentral:rRNA from 1 species
GAUGAACGCUGGCGGCGUGCCUAAUACAUGCAAGUCGAGCGAACAGACGAGGAGCUUGCUCCUCUGACGUUAGCGGCGGACGGGUGAGUAACACGUGGAUAACCUACCUAUAAGACUGGGAUAACUUCGGGAAACCGGAGCUAAUACCGGAUAAUAUAUUGAACCGCAUGGUUCAAUAGUGAAAGACGGUUUUGCUGUCACUUAUAGAUGGAUCCGCGCCGCAUUAGCUAGUUGGUAAGGUAACGGCUUACCAAGGCAACGAUGCGUAGCCGCCAUGAGAGGGUGAUCGGCCACACUGGGACUGAGACACGGUCCAGACUCCUACGGGAGGCAGCAGUAGGGAAUCUUCCGCAAGGGGCGAAAGCUUGACGGAGCAACGCCGCGUGAGUGAUGAAGGUCUUCGGAUCGUAAAACUCUGUUAUUAGGGAAGAACAAAUGUGUAAGUAACUAUGCACGUCUUGACGGUACCUAAUCAGAAAGCCACGGCUAACUACGUG